UACGACGGGGGCUAGCGUGUUUCGGAAUUACUGGGCGUAAAGCGCACGUAGGCGGAUAUUUAAGUCAGGGGUGAAAUCCCGCAGCUCAACUGCGGAACUGCCUUUGAUACUGGGUAUCUCGAGUAUGGAAGAGGUGAGUGGAAUUCCGAGUGUAGAGGUGAAAUUCGUAGAUAUUCGGAGGAACACCAGUGGCGAAGGCGGCUCACUGGUCCAUUACUGACGCUGAGGUGCGAAAGCGUGGGGAGAACACAGGAGGAGAUACCCGUGUAGUCC
rnacentral:rRNA from 1 species